rnacentral:rRNA from 1 species
GACGAACGCUGGCGGCGUGCUUAACACAUGCAAGUCGAACGGUGAAGCUCUAGCUUGCUGGUGUGGAUCAGUGGCGAACGGGUGAGUAACACGUGAGCAACCUGCCCCUGACUCUGGAAUAAGCGCUGGAAACGGCGUCUAAUACUGGAUACGAGACGGGUCCGCAUGGGCAGUUUCUGAUAAGUGGUUCGGUUGGGGAUGGGUGCGCGGCCUAUCAGCUUGUUGGUGGGGUAUUGGUUCACCAAGUCGACGAAGGAUAGCCGGCCCGGGAGGGCGACCGGCCACACUGGGACUGAGGGACGGCGCAGACUGCUACGGGGGGCAACGGUGGGGAAUAUUGCACAGUGGGCGCGAGCCUGAUGCGGCGACGCCGCGUGUGGGAUGACGGUCUUCGGGUUGUAAACCUCUGUCGGCAGGGAAGAAGCGAAAGUGACGGUACCUGCAGAAGAAGCACCGGCUAACUACGUG